AUGCUGUCUUCGGUAGCACAUAUACUAAAAUUAUAACAAUACAGACAAUAUUAGCAAGGCCCCUGACAAAGGAUGACAUAAAAAUUUGCGAAGCAUUCCAUAUUUUU
rnacentral:snRNA from 1 species